rnacentral:misc_RNA from 1 species
UUAAGUUCAGCGGGUAUCCCUACCUGAUCCGAGGUCAAACUUGGGGUGGAGGCUUCUGGAGAGCCAGGCACCGUCAGACGCCGCGCGCGUUUCUGCUGCGCUCGAAGCCAACGUGCCGGCUGCCAAUGCAUUUGAGGCGAGUCCCCGGGGAGACAGACGCCCAACACCAAGCCAAGAAGGUGGGCUUGAAGUUUGAAAUG